rnacentral:rRNA from 1 species
AUGCGGAAGGAUCAUUGUACGAAUCCUGCCAAGCAGAAUGACCAGAGAACUUGUGACGAACUCAAUGGGGGCGAUGGGUCUUCUUUUCCCAUCGUCCCUCGACGCCAGGAUCCCACGGGCGCCUGGAGCGUUCGGGGCAUUCUCGGCGGCACAACGAAACGAACCCCGGCGCGGAAUGCGCCAAGGAACUUGAACAAGAGAGCGAUGCUCUCACCACCCCAGACAUGGUGCGUGCGUGGGAUGCCAUGCAAUCUCCCAUUAUUCAUAACGACUCUCGGCAACGGAUAUCUCGGCUCUCGCAUCGUG